rnacentral:rRNA from 1 species
UACGAAGGGGGCUAGCGUUGUUCGGAAUUACUGGGCGUAAAGCGCGCGCAGGCGGUUCGAUAAGUUAGGGGUGAAAUCCCCGGGCUCAACCCGGGAAUGGCCUUUAAGACUGUCGAGCUAGAGGACGAGAGAGGUGAGUGGAAUUCCCAGUGUAGAGGUGAAAUUCGUAGAUAUUGGGAAGAACACCGGUGGCGAAGGCGGCUCACUGGCUCGUAUCUGACGCUGAGGCGCGAAAGCGUGGGGAGCAAAC